UACGGGGGGGGCAAGCGUUGUUCGGAAUUACUGGGCGUAAAGGGCUCGUAGGCGGCCAACUAAGUCAGACGUGAAAUCCCCAGGCUCAACCUGGGAACUGCGUCUGAUACUGAUUGGCUUGAAUCCGGGAGAGGGAUGUGGAAUUCCAGGUGUAGCGGUGAAAUGCGUAGAUAUCUGGAGGAACACCGGUGGCGAAGGCGACAUCCUGGACCGGUAUUGACGCUGAGGCGCGAAAGCCAGGGGAGCAAACGGG
rnacentral:rRNA from 1 species